UGUUGACUGUAAAGUUAACUGCCUUAACCCUCCUUGCCUUUUGCACCAAAUAAGCACAGGCAAGGGAAGGGUGAGGGACUGAUGAAGGUUUGCAGGGGAGAGUUCCUGCUCUCUGCCUCCCCUACAUUCAUACUUCGGGUUAUUCCUGCUUUGUUUCAAUGAGCCUGCAAAAUUGCUGUCACUUGCCGUCAAACGGCCUUAUGUAAGGCAUUUAAGUUGGAAAAUUCUAGAAAGUCAAAAGAGCAAAUCAAGCCCCGAUGUGCAGCCUUUACCAAUUCUCAGGUAGUAAGUCAUCCUGGCUUGGCCAGUUUCAAGUUGCCAAUGUGAUGCCACCAGACACAGCGUUGGGAAGAGAUGUGCAAAAGCACAUUGUGAUGCCGAGUUUCCACUGGACAGACACCAUAGAUAUGGAUGACCUCAAGAGACUGGGUAAUGGCAAACUGUAAAAUCAUGAGGAAGUGAAGAGUUUUGAGUAUUCUCUUUAUUUUAAUAAAACAUUCGAUCAUAAAAAUGUA